rnacentral:rRNA from 1 species
CCUACGGGGGCUGCAGUGGGGAAUAUUGGACAAUGGGCGAAAGCCUGAUCCAGCCAUGCCGCGUGUGUGAAGAAGGCCUUCGGGUUGUAAAGCACUUUCAGUGGGGAAGAAAGCCUUGGGGCUAAUACCCUCGAGGAAGGACAUCACCCACAGAAGAAGCACCGGCUAACUCCGUGCCAGCAGCCGCGGUAAUACGGAGGGUGCGAGCGUUAAUCGGAAUUACUGGGCGUAAAGCGCGCGUAGGCGGUCUGAUAAGCCGGUUGUGAAAGCCCCGGGCUCAACCUGGGAACGGCAUCCGGAACUGUCAGGCUAGAGUGCAGGAGAGGAAAGUAGAAUUCCCGGUGUAGCGGUGAAAUGCGUAGAGAUCGGGAGGAAUACCAGUGGCGAAGGCGGCCUUCUGGACUGACACUGACGCUGAGGUGCGAAAGCGUGGGUAGCAAACAGGAUUAGAUACCCGAGUAGUC